rnacentral:tRNA from 1 species
GGUUCCAUAGUGUAGCGGUUAGCAUGUCUGCUUUAUACGCAGAAGGUCUCAGUUUGUGCGCCAGUGGAGCCA